rnacentral:rRNA from 1 species
UACUCGAGUGGCGAACGGGUGAGUAACACGUGGGUGAUCUGCCCUGCACUCUGGGAUAAGCCUGGGAAACUGGGUCUAAUACCGGAUAGGACUGCACUUUAGUGUGUGUGGUGGAAAGUUUUUUCGGUGUAGGAUGAGCCCGCGGCCUAUCAGCUUGUUGGUGGGGUAAUGGCCUACCAAGGCGGCAACGGGUAGCCGGACUGAGAGGUUGGUCGGCCACAUUGGGACUGAGAUACCGGCCCAG